GUGCAGCCCCGGGAGGUCAAGGGCGCCAGCCCCUGGCGGAGUUUCCUGGCCUCUGGAAAGUCGGGCGGCGCCCGCAGGGUGCGGGGCGCUCCGGGAGCAGAAGGGGGCGUCGCCGGCCCCGCUCACUUCCCCGUCCGGCCGGAGGUGGGCACAGGCCUGGCCGCCCUGAAGCGGGGGUAGCCCUGCUUCUCGCGACAAGGUUGGAGUCUCCGAGGCUCCUCGAUCAGGCACUGCGGGGGCCCAAGCCGACGUAACCGGCCUCUUUGUUUGCUUCGAGCAGAAAACGAAAGUCCGGGAAACGAGCAUUUGUGGGCUGCGCUGAUGUAAAUGGUGGCACGUUAGUGGGUGGAGCGGGGAGGAUGCUGAAGGUGAAAUGGAAGGCAGCUUAGUGACGGAGAGGCACUCCGGGGCCAGAGGGGGCUGAGCUUUGGCUUAUAGGCCCCCCUCUGCUGGGAAUGGGACGACUCAGGCUAGAGUGCGCAGGAUAUUUUUAAAUGGAAAUAAGUAUCUGGUUUGAAACUCAGCCUCUGGAGCUCGUUUUUUCCCGGCUGGGUACCUAAGCUCAUUUCCUUGCACAUCUGCCAGUGGUCCACUCCGCUGGGACUGGCUGCCUACCCGCCCGGAGGUGGGUUGCAUCCUGGCAUCCGCAUCGGGGUCAUUCGGGCAGCUACCUACUCUGAUCCAGAGUAGCCUUAGGGACACGACCUUAGGGGCACCAGUUAUCAGUCUGCAUCGGAUGGCUGAUUGCGACACAGGGGAGUUGAGUAAGGUUGUUGUGAUCCAAAUAUUUUUCAAAAUAUUUUCGGGAACAAGAAAAGGUAGCACCCCAAGAGAACAAGGCAAGGGCGGGUGGGAGAGGAUGGAGGUCGCGUUCUCUGAAAGCGGUGGAGGUAAGUGAUGCUGGGAGGGGAGGUUUCGAUAAGGAGACAGUAGUUAUGGAGUGCUCUCAAAAGGGAAAGGAGACAAACCUCUGAGCCUGCGGAGGGAAAAGAGGAAACCAGUCAGAUGGCCAGGCCUGCAAGAAAUGCACAGCACCAUCCUUCUCUCCUGGUAGCAACGUACACAGUGCUGCAUCUUAGAAGGUCCACCGUAAAAGAGCACAGGCUCCGGACGCGCAGGCUCAGCGG